rnacentral:rRNA from 1 species
AGAUGGUGAACUAUGCCUGAAUAGGGCGAAGCCAGGGGAAACCCUGGUGGAAGCCCGCAGCGAUUCUGACGUGCAAAUCGAUCGUCAAAUUUGGGUAUAGGGGCGAAAGACUAAUCGAACCGUCUAGUAGCUGGUUCCCUCCGAAGUUUCCCUCAGGAUAGCUGGAGCCCGGUGCAGUUUUAUCAGGUAAAGCGAAUGAUUAGAGGUCUUGGGGUCGAAACGACCUCAACCUAUUCUCAAACUUUAAAUGGGUAAGAGGUCCGGCUUGCUCGGCUGAAGUCGGACGUGGAAUGCCGGGGCUCCUAGUGGGCCAUUUUUGGUAAGCAGAACUGGCGAUGUGGGAUGAACCGAAAGCCGGGUUAAGGUGCCCGAAUCGACGCUCAGCAGAUACCAGGAAG